GCCAGACAGAGCUAGCCAGACAUGGCUGCCAGACAUGGCUAGCCAGACAGACUACUAAAUAGGGUUGCAACAUUUCCGGGAAACUUUUCCAUAAUUCCCUGGUUUUCCAGGAAUCUUGGUUGGAGGAUUCCCGGAUGUCCAGCUAAUUCCCCCGUAAAUUCAAGGGAUCUUCUAACCAGGAUUUCUGGAAAACCAGGGAAUUUUGGGGAAGUUACCGUAAUUUUGCAACCUUAAGAAAAACAUAUGGAGAAUGUUUAGGAAUGGGCAGUUAUAGAGGACAGGAGGUUUAGUAAUGGGUAGUUAUAGAGGACAGGAGGUUUAAUAAUGGGUAGUUAUAGAGGACAGGAGGUUUAGUAAUGGGCAGUUAUAGAGGACAGGAGGUUUAGUAAUGGGUAGUUAUAGAGGACAGGAGGUUUAGUAAUGGGUAGUUAUAGAGGACAGGAGGUUUAGUAACAGGAGGUUUGGGCAGUUAUAGAGGACAGGAGGUUUAGUAAUGGGUAGUUAUAGAGGACAGGAGGUUAUAGAGGACAGGAGGUUUAGUAAUGGGUAGUUAUAGAGGACAGGAGGUUUAGUAAUGGGCAGCAGUAUAUAUAUAUAUAUAUCCUUGUGUUUCUGCCUAAACGUGCUGUGUAGGAAUAGAGGACAGGAGGUUAUGGAGGACAGGAGGACAGGAGGUUAUGGAGGACAGGAGGUUAUAGAGGACAGGAGGUUUAAUAAUGGGCAGUUAUAGAGGACAGGAGGUUUAGUAAUGGGCAGUUAUAGAGGACAGGAGGUUUAGUAAUGGGCAGUAGUACAUAUAUCCUUGUGUUUCUGCCUAAACGUGCUGUGUAGGAAUGGAGGACAGGAGGUUUAGUAAUGGGCAGUUAUGGAGGACAGGAGGUUUAGUAAUGGGCAGUUAUAGAGGACAGGAGGUUAUAGAGGACAGGAGGUUUAGUAAUGGGUAGUUAUAGAGGACAGGAGGUUUAGUAAUGGGUAGUUAUAGAGGACAGGAGGGUUUUUAUGGGUAGUUAUAGAGGACAGGAGGUUUAGUAAUGGGCAGUUAUAGAGGACAGGAGGUUUAGUAAUGGGCAGUUAUAGAGGACAGGAGGUUUAGUAAUGGGCAGUAGUAUAUAUAUCCUUGUGUUUCUGCCUAAACGUGCUGUGUAGGAAUAGAGGACAGGAGGUUUAGUAAUGGGCAGUAGUAUAUAUAUCCUAGGUUUAGUAAUAAACGUGCUGUGUAGGAAUAGAGGACAGGAGGUUAUGGAGGACAGGAGGUUUAGUAAUGGGCAGUAGUAUAUAUAUAUCCUAGGUUAGUAAUAAACGUGCUGUGUAGGAAUAGAGCACAGGAGGUUAUGGAGGACAGGAGGUUUAGUAAUGGGCAGUAGUAUAUAUAUAUCCUAGGUUAGUAAUAAACGUGCUGUGUAGGAAUAGAGCACAGGAGGUUAUGGAGGACAGGAGGUUUAGUAAUGGGCAGUAGUAUAUAUAUAUCCUAGGUUUAGUAAUAAACGUGCUGUGUAGGAAUAGAGCACAGGAGGUUAUGGAGGACAGGAGGUUUAGUAAUGGGCAGUAGUAUAUAUAUACGUGCUGUGUAGGAAUAGAGCACAGGAGGUUAUGGAGGACAGGAGGUUUAGUAAUGGGCAGUAGUAUAUAUAUCCUAG
ensembl:lncRNA